rnacentral:lncRNA from 1 species
CCCCCGCUCUCUUCCUGCUCGCCCCCAACUCGCUUGGGGGGGACGCGCUCAAAAAGGGCUCCGUCACGGGGCAGGGCACGGUGUCACCGACACGCUCGGAGUCACACGCUCGCUCUGACACGCGUGUGCUCGCCCCGACGUGCUCGUGCUCGCCCCGACGCCCUUGCACGCUCGCCCCUCCGGUGCCACAGCCCUGGGGACACGCGGGUCCCCGCCGCCCUCUCCCCACCACCCCCGUGCCCCCCGGUGCCCCUCACCUGCGAGCACGUUCACGGCGCACAGCAGCAGUGGGAGCGCUGCGGGGCGCAUGGCACCGGCACCGGGCUGCUUCGGAGCUCCGGGAACACCGGGGAGGGACCGGGGAAGGACCGGGGGGGGAUCUCCGUGCGCACCGGGACGGGGCCGGUCCGAGCAGUCCGUGCGCACCGGGACGGGGCCGGUCGGUGUCUCCGAAAAUCUCGGUUCCCAGGGCGAUCGGGCUCUCCGUGCGCACCGGGACCGGCUCCGGUUCGGGCUCUCCGUGCGCACCGGGACCGGCUCCGGUUCGGGCUCUCCGUUCGCACCGGUGUUGCUGGCUCAGGAUCCUCGCUGUGCUCCCGCCGCCCCGCCGGGCAGGCGCUUUAUGAGCUCGGCACAAGCCCAGCCCCUCCCGGCCCCCCCCGGGGAAUUCCGGGGCUGUGGGGACUUCGGCGCCGGGGUUCCCCCGGGCAGCUGGACCCCGGCCUGGGGCCGUGGGACAGCCCCACAGCCCUCCAGCCCCACUGCUCUCCCACCUCGGGACGGGGCAGUUUUCCUGCCCCAUUGCCCCGGGAUGGGGCAGUUCUUUUGCCCUCCCCCCCCCUACUGCUUCCCCGCCCUGGGACGGGGCAGGUUUUCUGCCCCACUGCCCUGGGGUGGGGCAGAUUUGCCCCAGAUGGAGCAGCCCUCCUGCCCCACUGCCUGGGAAAGGGGCACCUUCUUUCUGCCCCGAUGGGGCAGCCCUCCUGCCCCCCCGCCCCCCUGCCCGGUAUGGGGCAGCCCCCCAAAUCUGCCCCACUGCACUCGCUCCAGCCCCCUGCACCAGGCCCAGGCACCAGGGCUCCCAAAUUUUGGGGUUUGGAGGGGGGACUCAGCCCGGUAAGACGAAUUCGGGGCUUCCUGACGCCCCCAUCCCAAGCCAGGAUUUUUGUGGGGGCCUGGCCAGGGCUGGAUUAAGGCUCAGCAUCA